rnacentral:rRNA from 1 species
GCAUCUAUAAUGCAGUCGAGCGGAAGAUGGGAGCUUGCUCCCUGAUGUUAGCGGCGGACGGGUGAGUAACACGUGGGUAACCUGCCUGUAAGACUGGGAUAACUCCGGGAAACCGGGGCUAAUACCGGAUGCUUGUUUGAACCGCAUGGUUCAAACAUAAAAGGUGGCUUCGGCUACCACUUACAGAUGGACCCGCGGCGCAUUAGCUAGUUGGUGAGGUAAUGGCUCACCAAGGCAACGAUGCGUAGCCGACCUGAGAGGGUGAUCGGCCACACUGGGACUGAGACACGGCCCAGACUCCUACGGGAGGCAGCAGUAGGGAAUCUUCCGCAAUGGACGAAAGUCUGACGGAGCAACGCCGCGUGAGUGAUGAAGGUUUUCGGAUCGUAAAGCUCUGUUGUUAGGGAAGAACAAGUACCGUUCGAAUAGGGCGGUACCUUGACGGUACCUAACCAGAAAGCCACGGCUAACUACGUGCCAGCAGCCGCGGUAAUACGUAGGUGGCAAGCGUUGUCCGGAAUUAUUGGGCGUAAAGGGCUCGCAGGCGGUUUCUUAAGUCUGAUGUGAAAGCCCCCGGCUCAACCGGGGAGGGUCAUUGGAAACUGGGGAACUUGAGUGCAGAAGAGGAGAGUGGAAUUCCACGUGUAGCGGUGAAAUGCAUAGAGAUGUGGAGGAACACCAGUGGCAAAGGGCGACUCUCUGGUCUGUCACUGACCUCUGAGGAGCGAAAGCGUGGGGAGCGAACAGGG